rnacentral:rRNA from 1 species
GAUUGAACGCUGGCGGCAUGCUUUACACAUGCAAGUCGAACGGCAGCGCGGGCUUCGGCCUGGCGGCGAGUGGCGAACGGGUGAGUAAUGCAUCGGAACGUGCCCAGUAGUGGGGGAUAGCCCGGCGAAAGCCGGAUUAAUACCGCAUACGACCUGAGGGUGAAAGCGGGGGACCGAAAGGCCUCGCGCUAUUGGAGCGGCCGAUGUCGGAUUAGCUAGUUGGUGGGGUAAAGGCUUACCAAGGCGACGAUCCGUAGCUGGUCUGAGAGGACGACCAGCCACACUGGGACUGAGACACGGCCCAGACUCCUACGGGAGGCAGCAGUGGGGAAUUUUGGACAAUGGGGGCAACCCUGAUCCAGCCAUGCCGCGUGCGGGAAGAAGGCCUUCGGGUUGUAAACCGCUUUUGCUCGGGAAGAAAUCCUCUGGGCUAAUACCCCGGGGGGAUGACGGUACCGGAAGAAUAAGCACCGGCUAACUACGUG